rnacentral:rRNA from 1 species
UACGUAGGGUGCGAGCGUUGUCCGGAAUUAUUGGGCGUAAAGGGCUCGUAGGCGGUUUGUCGCGUCGGGAGUGAAAACCAGGUGCUUAACACCUGGCUUGCUUUCGAUACGGGCAGACUAGAGGUAUUCAGGGGAGAACGGAAUUCCUGGUGUAGCGGUGAAAUGCGCAGAUAUCAGGAGGAACACCGGUGGCGAAGGCGAGGUGCUGGACCCCUUCUGACGCUGAGGCGCGAAAGCCAGGGGAGCGAACGGG